GCUCACCCCUACUCGCCACCGUCCCCUCCGAUUCUCCCACCAUGGACUUGGUUUUGAUGCACCUGAUGCUUCUUCCAUUGAGGAAAAGAAUGCUUUAGCCUUGGCAAUAGUUCCCUCAGAACCUGGUGCUGCUUCUUCAGCAUUUGGUUCGGUGCUACUCAAUCUAAAGACUUCAAUCCCACUGGAUGGGAGCUUGCUCGGUCUCUACCCCAAGUACUAACAUCUCUGCGGCUAAU